rnacentral:miRNA from 1 species
UUUGUACGUGUGAAACUUCUUCC